AGCCAAUGGAAAACUCUGGUGGAUAUCAUCAGGCUGCAGAGGGGAUCCUGGAAAAACUGGGAGAAGCCAGAGAAAGGCAGAACACCUUCAGGGUAAAUAUGUAUUGAACACUUCCCACGGCGUCAGCCCUGCGCUAAGGCUGCCAUAUUAGGAGAGGACUUGGGAGGAAUGAUGCUCACAAGCUCUGCUCCAAAAUGAUACACUACUCUUCCUCCUUGAGGUAUAUGGAACUGGGAAAACCUCGAUAUGUUAGAGGCUGGGAAGACCAAUAUCUGGCCAAAUGAAAAGGCAAGUUUAUUAGGAUGGUGAUGAUCCAAUAAAAGGAAUUACUUCAGCAGGACCUGGAAAAGGACACACACUUUCAUAUGGACAAAUUAGAGAGAGAGAAGAGAGAGAGGCACAUGGAUGUAGCAUACACUGAAAAUUCUGUGUACGUAUCUUCUAUUUGCUGAUUGGGCCAGCUCUCCAACCUCUCUCAGCAACACACAACCUUGCACAACCUCAGAAAUCACCGUUCACCCCUGCAGCAGAUCCUUGGUAGAUUUCAUGGAAUCUUGCCCUUACACAAGCCUGGUUAACCCCCAGCAGA